rnacentral:lncRNA from 1 species
CUAAAUCAAGCAUUGCAUCAAAAUUGUUCACUGUCAAAUAUGCAAAGUGAACCGUGUAAGACUUGGAAUCACUAUGCAACCAUCUCUUUGUGUCCAAAACAUCCUUCACCAAAUGCACCCCUAACAUUUCCUUUUCAAAACAUUCCAUCAUUGUUUUUUCCCACUCAAACCACUCUGUCCUCCAACUCAAAUUUCACUUCCUACCCUCUAUACCCCAUUCUCUAGUCAGCACAAGUACUCGCACCCAAGUCCAUGUGAAACUACCACAAACAAAAUCAUAAUGCUAACAAUUUCACACUAUGGUUGAAAAUCAAUUGUAUCAUACAAACAAUCACAUGCACAUACAAUUUUUAGUACUUGAGGUUCACACUCCUCCUAGUCUUCAAUACAGUUAAAUUAAAAUAAAUACAUUGCAUGCAUAAAUUAAC